rnacentral:rRNA from 2 species
UUGCACCUGAUUGAUUUUGGUCGCCAACGAGUGGCGGACGCGUGAGUAACACGUAGGUAACCUGCCCAGAAGCGGGGGACAACAUUUGGAAACAGAUGCUAAUACCGCAUAACAGCGUUGUUCGCAUGAACAACGCUUAAAAGAUGGCUUCUCGCUAUCACUUCUGGAUGGACCUGCGGUGCAUUAGCUUGUUGGUGGGGUAACGGCCUACCAAGGCGAUGAUGCAUAGCCGAGUUGAGAGACUGAUCGGCCACAAUGGGACUGAGACACGGCCCAUACUCCUACGGGAGGCAGCAGUAGGGAAUCUUCCACAAUGGGCGCAAGCCUGAUGGAGCAACACCGCGUGAGUGAAGAAGGGUUUCGGCUCGUAAAGCUCUGUUGUUAAAGAAGAACACGUAUGAGAGUAACUGUUCAUACGUUGACGGUAUUUAACCAGAAAGUCACGGCUAACUACGUGCCAGCAGCCGCGGUAAUACGUAGGUGGCAAGCGUUAUCCGGAUUUAUUGGGCGUAAAGAGAGUGCAGGCGGUUUUCUAAGUCUGAUGUGAAAGCCUUCGGCUUAACCGGAGAAGUGCAUCGGAAACUGGAUAACUUGAGUGCAGAAGAGGGUAGUGGAACUCCAUGUGUAGCGGUGGAAUGCGUAGAUAUAUGGAAGAACACCAGUGGCGAAGGCGGCUACCUGGUCUGCAACUGACGCUGAGACUCGAAAGCAUGGGUAGCGAACAGGAUUAGAUACCCUGGUAGUCCAUGCCGUAAACGAUGAGUGCUAGGUGUUGGAGGGUUUCCGCCCUUCAGUGCCGGAGCUAACGCAUUAAGCACUCCGCCUGGGGAGUACGACCGCAAGGUUGAAACUCAAAGGAAUUGACGGGGGCCCGCACAAGCGGUGGAGCAUGUGGUUUAAUUCGAAGCUACGCGAAGAACCUUACCAGGUCUUGACAUCUUGCGCCAACCCUAGAGAUAGGGCGUUUCCUUCGGGAACGCAAUGACAGGUGGUGCAUGGUCGUCGUCAGCUCGUGUCGUGAGAUGUUGGGUUAAGUCCCGCAACGAGCGCAACCCUUGUUACUAGUUGCCAGCAUUAAGUUGGGCACUCUAGUGAGACUGCCGGUGACAAACCGGAGGAAGGUGGGGACGACGUCAGAUCAUCAUGCCCCUUAUGACCUGGGCUACACACGUGCUACAAUGGACGGUACAACGAGUCGCGAACUCGCGAGGGCAAGCAAAUCUCUUAAAACCGUUCUCAGUUCGGACUGCAGGCUGCAACUCGCCUGCACGAAGUCGGAAUCGCUAGUAAUCGCGGAUCAGCAUGCCGCGGUGAAUACGUUCCCGGGCCUUGUACACACCGCCCGUCACACCAUGAGAGUUUGUAA